rnacentral:rRNA from 1 species
UAGGGAAUAUUAGAAAUGGCCGAAAGUCUGAUCUAGCAACACCGCGUGUGCGAAGAAGGCCUUCGGGUUGUAAAGCACUUUUUGGAAGGAUUAGGAAGGAAUGUACUUCCAGAAUAAGUCUCGGCUAACUACGUGCCAGCAGCCGCGGUAACACGUAGGAGGCAAACGUUAUCCGGAUUUACUGGGCGUAAAGCGCGUGUAGGUGGUUCGGUAAGUAGGGCGUGAAAGCUCCUGGCUCAACUGGGAGAGGCCGUUCUAAACUGCAGAGCUAGAGGAUGGUAGAGGGAGGUGGAAUUCCGGGUGGAGCGGUGGAAUGCGCAGAUAUCCGGAGGAACACCAGUGGCGAAAGCGGCCUCCUGGACCAUUCCUGACACUCAGACGCGAAAGCUAGGGUAGCAAACG